CACGUAGGCACCAAGCGUUGUCCGGAUUUAUUGGGCGUAAAGAGCUCGUAGGCGGUUCAGUAAGUCGGGUGUGAAAACUCUGGGCUCAACCCAGAGACGCCACCCGAUACUGCUGUGACUUGAGUACGGUAGGGGAGUGGGGAAUUCCUGGUGUAGCGGUGAAAUGCGCAGAUAUCAGGAAGAACACCCGUGGCGAAGGCGGCUCUCUGGGACGGUACUGACGCUGAGACGCGAAAGCGUGGGGAGCGAACAGG
rnacentral:rRNA from 1 species